rnacentral:rRNA from 1 species
GUCUACAGCCAUGCCGCCCUGAACAAGCCUGAUGUCUGAUCUCGGAAUCUAAACAGGGUUGGGCCUGGUUAGUACUUGGAUGGGAGACCACCUAGGAAGACCAGGUGCUGUAGGCA